rnacentral:rRNA from 1 species
UACGGAGGGUGCAAGCAUUAAUCGGAAUUAUUGGGCGUAAAGGGCGCGUAGGCGGAUUUGUAAGUCAGAUGUGAAAUUCCAAGACUCAAUUUUGGAGCUGCAUUUGAAACUAUAAGUCUGGAGGGUAGACGGAGAAAACGGAAUUCCACAUGUAGCGGUGAAAUGCGUGGAUAUGUGGAAGAACACCGGUGGCGAAAGCGGUUUUCUAGUUUAUUCCUGACGCUGAUGCGCGAGAGCAAGGGGAGCAAACAGG